GAUGAACGCUGGCGGCGUGCCUAAUACAUGCAAGUCGAGCGAACAGACGAGGAGCUUGCUCCUCUGACGUUAGCGGCGGACGGGUGAGUAACACGUGGAUAACCUACCUAUAAGACUGGGAUAACUUCGGGAAACCGGAGCUAAUACCGGAUAAUAUAUUGAACCGCAUGGUUCAAUAGUGAAAGACGGUUUUGCUGUCACUUAUAGAUGGAUCCGCGCCGCAUUAGCUAGUUGGUAAGGUAACGGCUUACCAAGGCGACGAUGCGUAGCCGACCUGAGAGGGUGAUCGGCCACACUGGAACUGAGACACGGUCCAGACUCCUACGGGAGGAAGCAGUAGGGAAUCUUCCGCAAUGGGCGAAAGCCUGACGGAGCAACGCCGCGUGAGUGAUGAAGGUCUUCGGAUCGUAAAACUCUGUUAUUAGGGAAGAACAAAUGUGUAAGUAACUAUGAACGUCUUGACGGUACCUAAUCAGAAAGCCACGGCUAACUACGUG
rnacentral:rRNA from 1 species